AAGGUAGCUUGCUACCUGGGUUUCCG
rnacentral:snRNA from 1 species